rnacentral:lncRNA from 1 species
CACAGGGGCGAUUUAGGGAGGAUGGAGGUGAGCUGGUUACUGGUUCGGACACAUAGAGCCUCCUGUGCCCUCAAGCCUCUCCUGUCCAGUAAUGGAAGGGUGCUCUAUCCAAGUGCCUGAAACAGCACAGCAGAAGGAAUUCUGUGUUCAUAGGAAAGGCCUCGCAGAGAGGCCACGUGGACUGAGCCUAGGAGAACGGACCGGGACACACAGAUACAGGCUGCUCUAUCUGGGCUGGGAUCCUGGCCUCCAUGCCACACUCCUGGUGCCCUCCCCACCUGCUGAGCCGCGCCAAGCUUUGCCAGUGACCCUCAAAUCUUGGAGCCAGGACCUCUCCCUCAGCUCAUUGGUCCAAGCACUGGGAUGCAGUGAUGGAAAUGUCAUUCUUAGAGAGGAAGAUAUUUCCAAAUGAACCACCUGGUAUGAAACUAUCCUACAGGUAAAACCUUUUUACAACCGUAACUUUUUUAUGGCUUAUGUUCUUAUUCAACGGACAUGUUACCCAACUGGUCAUUUGUAAAUAGAAAAACAUUCCCUUCCCCAAACCUGAAGUAGUUCCGUAUGUGUCCACAAUUUAAGAUUUAGAGGAAGAAAUAUGAGUUUGGUAUCAAAGGGUCUGGAUUAAAUAGGGAUUCCUAAACUGGUCCAUACACAGAAUUCAGAAGGUCUUUGAACUUGGGAAAAUGACACCUUUCCUCUACUAUCUAGCUAAAAUUUAGAUCUUCUUCAAUUAAGAAUAUAGACUACAUGCCACAUGAGUAUGCAUUAGCAAGACCUGUGUCUCUGCCACUGGUGGAAGUGACAGAUAUUUUCUUCUUACUUAAAAGUUGUUGCAGACCCUUUAAAUAUCAUUUAUGCUCAUCUUCACUGUGAAAUGAAGGUUGUUGUUAGACCUGGUAUAGAUUGUUUUUAACUGUGUUCAUGAAGAGAUGUGUAUUACUAGUUCACAAAUUUAUCUUAAUAUAGAAUUAUGGUUCAGUGUAAUUGGUUUCCCUUAUAAUCGUAUAUAUUUUAUUCAUUUUAUCCAUUCUAAAACAUUCUGAGAAGGCUUUGUCAGAUUGUCAAAGGAGUAUAUAAGGGAUAAAAAAGGUUAAGGACCUUUGGGUUCUGGCAGGUCUUCAUGGAAAAGAAGAGAAAGAUCAGCUCAUUGCAGCACUGGCUUAUUAUUUAUAACAUAUAAUUAAUAGCAGCAUAAGUAAUUUGAUAGGCUCUUGCCAUAAGUCAGCCACCUGUUACAGAUGAGGAAACCAAAGACCCAGGGAAACUGGUAAGUCUGAACCAUUUGGAGAACAUGUUACUACAAGGCUGAGAUGGCUGUGGGAGUAGUUUUCUCCAAACCAUUCUUAUUUCACUGGAAAGUAUUCUCCAAUGAUUUAAAAAAAAAAAAAAAAAACCUUCCAUAAACCAAGCUA